ensembl:lncRNA
CUCGUUUACAACAACGACGGCAUACAGAGCUAGUUCACAACAACGACGGCAUACAGAGGUAGUUCACAACAACGACGGCAUACAGAGGUAGUUCACAACAACGACGGCAUACAGAACUCGUUCACAACAACGACGGCAUACAGAGCUAGUUCACAACAACGACGGCAUACAGAGGUAGUUCACAACAACGACGGCACAUCAACGCCUGUGUCAUCCGUGUUCUAUGUUUGGUUUAUGUUAAAAACAUUUAUUGCGAGAUAGAAGGCCAUACAUAUUUAACUUGUACAACGAUAUUCAUACCCUCCGUAUAACCUGAAAUAGAACAGCUCGAACUGUUUGAAGAGACUAUGUAUACUAGUCCUAGUAACAGCAGUAGUACAAUACAAUUACUGUAGGACUAACAGUGAACAGUAGUACACACACCCAGCAGUACACACACCCAAACCUUCCCUAUGGAUCUCCCCGCACUGCUGUCAGCGUGUGUGUUUAUGUGUUUACGUGUGCGUGCGUGCAGGAAAGGAUAACCAAACGCAUGCAGGAGUGAUGAGUGAAAGAGUACACAGAAUGGAACCCUGUGGAUCUUUCCUAAGGGAGAGUCUGAUACAGGUUGGGUUGAUUAAACAGGUUUAGACUACAGGUCUCUGUUAGGACCAUUGGACUGCUACGCCAGAAAACCCCCAGGGGGUUUAUUACUAGAGGAGGGUCAUUGGGGCAUGUCUACUGUAUGUGUGUGUGUGUCUGCAGAGAAGGGGUUAAUUCAUCCGUCCUAAGGAGAGGACGUGGCUGUACUCUUUGGAGACAUUCUGGACCUGAGAGGUUAUUCUGGACCUGAGAGGUUAUUCUGGACCUGAGGGGAUUCUAGAACUGAGGGGAUUCCAGAACUGAGGGGAUUCUAGAACUGAGGGGAUUCUAGAACUGAGGGGAUUCUAGAACUGAGGGGAUUCCAGAACUGAGGGGAUUCCAGAACUGAGGGGAAUCCAGAACUGAGGGGAUUCUAGAACUAAGGGGAUUCCAGAAAUUAGAUUAGAACACACUGUUCGAACAACUAUCUCAAAACUCACAGAGACAAAACAAGAAUAGAGCUGUCUGACAUAGAGAACAAUAAAACAGGAUAAGGAUGCAUCACCCAGUUCUUUGUGCCCUCGCCACACGCUUUCUCUCUCACACUGUCCAUGUUGUGCAGUGGUGAUACUGCAGCCUUUUCCUCUCCUUUACCUUCCUUCUACUCUUCUCCUCCUCCCCAGCUGGAAUUCAUGCUCUGUCUCUCUCUGCCCAUAGUGCAGCCCCACUCCUCACCUCCCCCCUUCCUUUCAUCUCCCAUCCUUUCCCUCCUCCCCUCCUCCUCUCCUCCCCCUCCUCCUCCCCUCCCCUGCUCCCUCCUUCUCUUCUCUCCUCUCCCUCCUCCUCUCCUCUUCCUCCUCCUCCCCCUCCUCUCCACCCGUCCUCCCUCCCUCCUUACCCCUCCCAUUCCCUCUACCAUCUGAGCUUCAGGUUUACAGACGACACAGCCUGAAUGUCAAUGAUUGCUAGGAAGGAAAUGAAGGAUGCGUGUUGGCAUUACGUCCAAGUGUGCUACGCUCAAAUUCCUCCCCGUUUCCUCCCACUUUUACAAAGGAGUGUUUCCUUUCAUCCUUUCCCUGCGUUGUGCAUCCAUCCGUUUAUCCAGACCAACCAUCCAUGGUACAAGUACAAUAGGAUGAUGGAUUGUCUGAAAGAACAGAGAUGAAGGGACAUAGGAUAGUGUGUGUGUGAAUGUCUGAGUGUGUACGUACAGGAGAGGAUAGUGGACUCUGGAUCCACUAAGACUGUGAAUCGAAUACUGAUGCUAACUCAUCCUUCUUUCUCACACACCUCUUACCCUGGAUAGAAUGGACAGUGGAUCUGUUGGUUCUGCGUUCUGUUGCUGUGUUCUAAUGUUCUAAGACUCCUUUCACCACACGAUUCCGGAACCUUUUCCAAACUGCUCCCGGCACGGAGAGUAAGGGCUGUGUUUCUGAGAGUAGGGCUGUGCUUCUGAGAGUAGGGCUGUGCUUCUGUGGCUCUCAAUCAGAAGGAGAAAACACAACGCCUGGUGCUAUUGAGCUAGAGCGCCCCUUAUGGACGAAGACAGGGAGAACCCCCCUGUUCUAACCCUGCUCUGUCCCUCAGCAACAUGGACAAAGACAGGGAGAACCCCCCUGUUCUAACCCUGCUCUGUCCCUCAGCAACAUGGACAA